rnacentral:lncRNA from 1 species
CAAUUGAAAACGCAAUUUUUUGCCUGUAGUUGAGAUAUGUCAGAAAAUGGGGAGGAAAAACAGCUAAACAGAAGACUCCUGGCUCCAAGGAGAGACUGUCUGGAAGCUUUGGCAUGACUCCCUGCCCUACAGCAACGGACCCUGCAGUCGUGAAGACCUUGGAUUUGGAGAAAUCUUCUUGCAUUUUCUACUGGCUUCCCUCUGCAACUCAGCUACUUGUUGUAACUCCUAUUCCUGCAUGCUUGAUCCUCUGCUCCCUGUAA